GGAGAGGUGGCCGAGUGGUUGAAGGCGCACGCCUGGAACGCGUGUAUGGGUGCAAGCCCAUCGAGGGUUCGAAUCCCUCUCUCUCCGCCA
rnacentral:tRNA from 2 species